AAACAGAUCAUGAAGACUCACAGGUGAAAAGGAGCUCUGGGAGACGUGAGGAACGAGGAGAAAACUUACCUGUAAGGUGUUUUAGAAACUUGUCCUUCAUCCUCAGAUCUCGAGGAACAAUUUCUGUUUCAGGGAAAAGAAAGUAUUAUAUUACCUGAAGGACGCAUUUUUUAAAAAUGUGAUCUUAAGUGAAUGUUGAAGAAAAUUGGAGCUCCAUAUUAGCCAAGUUGCUUUGCACAAAAUAAAAAAGACUGGGGCCCUGGAUUGCAACACACGACAGUGAAGAAGACUCAAUAUCAGGGACAUUUAUUUUCCUUGAAAUAACAGUAACUGCUCCUGAAGCUCCAGGAUUAUGUCGGCUGUCUACCCCGUGGGAUGCAGACAGAGACCACGAAGUUACAGAGCCCUCUCCAUCUUCACUCCCCCGUUCAGGGCUCCUGGCUGAGCCCCGACUGUGUGUGAAGUCACGCCCUCUGAAGAGGAGCAUUCGCAUCCACAGCUGACCCCCUAUUUUUAAUGGGACAAAUGGAUUCCUUGAAUGAGCCCUUUCUACCAUCCAAGUGUGGGCCAAGACUUCCGCCCAGGCCUCCUGAUUCCCACAAACACAGCAAGAUUAAGAUUAGGUCAUUUUUCUUUUCUUUUUCUUUUUCUUUUUUUUUUUUUUUUUUUUUUUUUUUUUUGACUGAGUCUUGCUCUGUCAUCCAGGAUAGAGUGCAGUGGCACAAUCUUGGCUCACUG
rnacentral:lncRNA from 1 species